rnacentral:Y_RNA from 1 species
GGUUGGUCCGAGUGCAGUGGUGUUUACAACUAAUUGAUCACAACCAGUUACAGAUUCCUUUGUUCCUUCUCCACUCUCACUGCUCCACUUGACCAGCCUUAA